CGCUGACGAACUCAGGAAGCUGCGGCCGCUGCCAUAUUUUUCUCUGUUUCUGCCGAAGCUUGAUGAAAAAAUUCUGGUAGUCCCGCCGCGAGCCAUAUCAUCGAUUUUCAGCGUGAAUUCACGCUGCAGAUAGCAUGCAGCACUUCUAUCAUGCUGCACUGGGUAUAGCCCUUUCAAUCAUAUUUCUAUCGCAAUUUGAUUUGAUACUUUCAACUGACGAAGAAGAAUAUUACUACGAUGAUCACGGUUCUGAUGUAGCGGAUGGUAUCGUAAAAGGAUCUGGACAAUCUGUUACACCGUGAGCUCGUCUGUCGUUUUG